rnacentral:rRNA from 1 species
ACAAGCAGUGGAGUAUGUGGUUUAAUUCGAAGCAACGCGAAGAACCUUACCAGGGCUUGACAUCCCUUGAAGCAGCUAGAGAUAGCUGUGUCCUUCGGGACAAGGAGACAGGUGGUGCAUGGUUGUCGUCAGCUCGUGUCGUGAGAUGUUGGGUUAAGUCCCGCAACGAGCGCAACCCCUGUGGUUAGUUGCCAGCAAGUGGCGUUGGGCACUCUAGCCAGACUGCCGGUGAUAAAUCGGAGGAAGGUAGGGACGACGUCAAAUCAUCAUGCCCUUUAUGUCCUGGGCUACACACGUACUACAAUGGCCGUUACAACGGGAAGCGAAGGAGCAAUCCGGAGCAAAUCCCUUAAAGGCGGUCCCAGUUCAGAUUGUGGGCUGAAACUCGCCCACAUGAAGGCGGAAUUGCUAGUAAUUGCAGAUCAGCAUGCUGCAGUGAAUACGUUCCCGGGCCUU